rnacentral:rRNA from 1 species
UGCAACUCGCCUGCAUGAAGUCGGAAUUGCUAGUAAUCGCAGAUCAGCAUGCUGCGGUGAAUACGUUCCCGGGCCUUGUACACACCGCCCGUCACACCAUGGGAGUCGGUAACACCCGAAGUCGGUAGUCUAACCGAAAGGAGGACGCCGCCGAAGGUGGGAUUGAUGACUGGGGUGAAGUCGUAACAAGGUACC